UACAGAGGUCUCAAGCGUUGUUCGGAUUCAUUGGGCGUAAAGGGUGCGUAGGUGGCGCCGUAAGUCAGGUGUGAAAUUUCGGAGCUCAACUCCGAAACUGCAUUUGAUACUGCGGUGCUUGAGGACUGGAGAGGAGACUGGAAUUCACGGUGUAGCAGUGAAAUGCGUAGAUAUCAUGAGGAAGACCAGUGGCGAAGGCGGGUCUCUGGACAGUUCCUGACACUGAGGCACGAAGGCCCAGGGGGAGCAAAACGGGG
rnacentral:rRNA from 1 species